GUAGUCCUGGCUGUAAACGGUGCACGUUUGCUGUGAGAGGAAUCGACCCCUUUCGUGGCGGAGCUAACGCGAUAAACGUGCCGCCUGGGGAGUACGGUCGCAAGAUUAAAACUCAAAGAAAUUGACGGGGGCCUGCACAAGCGGUGGAGUAUGUGGCUCAAUUCGAUGCAACGCGAAGAACCUUACCUGGCCUUGACAUGCACGUGGUAGAAGCCCGAAAGGGUAACGACCCCGCAAGGGGAGCGUGCACAGGUGCUGCAUGGCUGUCGUCAGCUCGUGUCGUGAGAUGUUGGGUUAAGUCCCGCAACGAGCGCAACCCUUGCGUCCUGUUGCCACCCCUACGAGAGUAGGGAGCACUCUGGACGGACUGCCUCGCUUCAACGGGGA
rnacentral:rRNA from 1 species